rnacentral:rRNA from 1 species
UAGAGUUUGAUCCUGGCUCAGGAUGAACGCUGGCGGCGUGCUUAACACAUGCAAGUCGAACGAUGAAGCCCAGCUUGCUGGGUGGAUUAGUGGCGAACGGGUGAGUAACACGUGAGUAACCUGCCCUUAACUCUGGGAUAAGCCUGGGAAACUGGGUCUAAUACCGGAUAGGAGCGCCUACCGCAUGGUGGGUGUUGGAAAGAUUUAUCGGUUUUGGAUGGACUCGCGGCCUAUCAGCUUGUUGGUGAGGUAAUGGCUCACCAAGGCGACGACGGGUAGCCGGCCUGAGAGGGUGACCGGCCACACUGGGACUGAGACACGGCCCAGACUCCUACGGGAGGCAGCAGUGGGGAAUAUUGCACAAUGGGCGCAAGCCUGAUGCAGCGACGCCGCGUGAGGGAUGACGGCCUUCGGGUUGUAAACCUCUUUCAGUAGGGAAGAAGCGAAAGUGACGGUACCUGCAGAAGAAGCACCGGCUAACUACGUGCCAGCAGCCGCGGUAAUACGUAGGGUGCGAGCGUUAUCCGGAAUUAUUGGGCGUAAAGAGCUCGUAGGCGGUUUGUCGCGUCUGUCGUGAAAGUCCGGGGCUUAACCCCGGAUCUGCGGUGGGUACGGGCAGACUAGAGUGCAGUAGGGGAGACUGGAAUUCCUGGUGUAGCGGUGGAAUGCGCAGAUAUCAGGAGGAACACCGAUGGCGAAGGCAGGUCUCUGGGCUGUAACUGACGCUGAGGAGCGAAAGCAUGGGGAGCGAACAGGAUUAGAUACCCUGGUAGUCCAUGCCGUAAACGUUGGGCACUAGGUGUGGGGACCAUUCCACGGUUUCCGCGCCGCAGCUAACGCAUUAAGUGCCCCGCCUGGGGAGUACGGCCGCAAGGCUAAAACUCAAAGGAAUUGACGGGGGCCCGCACAAGCGGCGGAGCAUGCGGAUUAAUUCGAUGCAACGCGAAGAACCUUACCAAGGCUUGACAUGUUCUCGAUCGCCGUAGAGAUACGGUUUCCCCUUUGGGGCGGGUUCACAGGUGGUGCAUGGUUGUCGUCAGCUCGUGUCGUGAGAUGUUGGGUUAAGUCCCGCAACGAGCGCAACCCUCGUUCCAUGUUGCCAGCACGUAAUGGUGGGGACUCAUGGGAGACUGCCGGGGUCAACUCGGAGGAAGGUGAGGACGACGUCAAAUCAUCAUGCCCCUUA